UACGUAGGAGACGAGCGUUGUCCGGAGUUACUGGGCGUAAAGGGUGCGCAGGUGGCGGCGCGCGUGGGGGGUGAAAUCGCCCGGCUUAACUGGGCGGGGGCCUUCCAGACGGCGUGGCUUGAGCAGCGGAGGGGGACGUGGAAUUCCGGGUGGAGCGGUGAAAUGCGUAGAGAUCCGGAGGAACACCAGCGGCGAAGGCGGCAUCCUGGACUGGUCCUGACGCUCAGGAGCGAAAGCGUGGGGAGCGAUCCGG
rnacentral:rRNA from 1 species